rnacentral:lncRNA from 1 species
GCCAGGCAGAAACAUUGUUUUUUUUCUUCCAAUGUGCGUAAGGCAAGUACAUUGUUUUUCCAAUAUUUUUUUCCAAUGCCCAUGGUUAAAUAAUGUUGUGUAUAGUGAGACACACGACGGCGGCGAUGAGCUAAUAAAAAAACCCGCCGACAAGUAACUAAAAUGUCUGACGAAGCUUGCACUUCGUGAAGGAAGCGAAUUAGAGCAAGUACAAUAUGGUGACAUGGACAGGGUGUAAGAUUUUAAAUAUAAUAUUUUUGGUGGGUUGGAGGGAAGAAAGAGGAGUGUGCUGUUAACUAGUACUCCAGUCAGUUGCAAUACUUGCUCCUAAGCUCUCACGAUUAGCUAAAGAUGACAUGACAAGAGGUUACAGGCACCAUUAGACCAAGCUAUUUCUUUCGGGGUUUUUUUUGUGUAAGAAUGGGAAUUUAUUUAUUCAUUAACAACGAAAUACACGAGAGAGCCUAUAUGGAUCAAGGCUCUGAGAGUUACACAUUUGCCUCAAAGGGCAG